rnacentral:rRNA from 1 species
UGGGGAAUAUUGCACAAUGGGCGAAAGCCUGAUGCAGCGACGCCGCGUGAGGGAUGACGGCCUUCGGGUUGUAAACCUCUUUCAGUAGGGACGAAGCGCAAGUGACGGUACCUGCAGAAGAAGCACCGGCUAACUACGUGCCAGCAGCCGCGGUAAUACGUAGGGUGCGAGCGUUGUCCGGAAUUACUGGGCGUAAAGAGCUCGUAGGCGGUUUGUCACGUCGUCUGUGAAAUCCUAGGGCUUAACCCUGGACGUGCAGGAGAUACGGGCUGACUUGAGUACUACAGGGGAGACUGGAAUUUCUGGUGUAGCGGUGGAAUGCACAGAUAUCAGGAAGAACACCGAUGGCGAAGGCAGGUCUCUGGGUAGUAACUGACGCUGAGGAGCGAAAGCAUGGGUAGCGAACAGG